AGCAAGAUCCCUGGCAGUGAUGUUUACAACUAACUGAUCACAACCAGUUACAGAUUCAUUUGUUCCUUCACAGCCACUGCUUCACUUGACUAGCCUUAA
ensembl:misc_RNA Y_RNA Y RNA